AGUGCGAGGGCAUAUAGUCCUCGCUUUUGUACACCGUAAGGUGGUGGACGAAUAAGGGCUGGGCAAGACCGGUGCCAGCCGCCGCGGUAAUACCGGCAGCCCGAGUGAUGGCCGCUAUUAUUGGGCCUAAAGCGUCCGUAGCCGGCCAGACCCGGUCCGUCGGGAAAUCUGCUCGCCUAACGAGCAGGCGUCCGGCGGAAACCAGCUGGCUUGGGACCGGAAGACCCGAGGGGUACGUCUGGGGUAGGAGUGAAAUCCCGUAAUCCUGGACGGACCACCAAUGGCGAAAGCACCUCGGGAAGACGGACCCGACGGUGAGGGACGAAAGCUAGGGUCACGAACCGGAUUAGAUACCCGGGUAGUCCUAGCUGUAAACGAUGCUCGCUAAGUGUGGCACACGCUACGAGCGUGUG
rnacentral:rRNA from 1 species